rnacentral:rRNA from 1 species
UACGUAGGGGGCAAGCGUUGUCCGGAAUUAUUGGGCGUAAAGAGCGUGUAGGCGGUCCGGUAAGUCAGCUGUGAAAGUCAAGGGCUCAACCCUUGAAUGCCGGUUGAUACUGUCGGGCUAGAGUCCGGAAGAGGCGAGUGGAAUUCCCGGUGUAGCGGUGAAAUGCGCAGAUAUCGGGAGGAACACCAAUGGCGAAGGCAGGUCUCUGGGCAUUAACGUGACGCUGAGGAGCGAAAGCAUGGGGAGCGAACAGG